GGCUGCCCUCAGCCUAAGCUCUACCUGCCCAUCUCUCUCAAGGGGUUCUGAUACCAGGGCUUCUCAGCGGGGCCUUCUCCAGGCCAAGCCAGACUGAGAAAGCUGGUGGUUUCGCAGAGGCGGUGUGGACUAAUGAAUCAUGAAUAACGAAGGCCCAUCAACCCCCACCAAAACGACAACAGUAACAAGAAGCACGGGCUGUUUUGGAUGCACCCACGAAGGGUUAGCUUCAGCUCAGACCCCUGGAGUUUGGAUGACCUGACUGGGCCUCUACCUUAGAGGCUGGGUCCCUUAAAUAUCCCUGAAGUGUGAAACUGCUGGAGAAAGACAGGCCUGAUUUAUACAGGCAGCCUGCCACUCCUGCACCCAGCCACCCUCAGUAAACGGCCUCUGCCUCCUCCCUGCCAUCACGUCACCAAGCACCAGGACAACAAAAUGUAGUAGUAAAGCCAGCCUUGGUCAAGGAGAGAUUACAGUCUGAGAGACCAAUAGAUGGCCAAUGGCCCAUCAUAGCAUCGUGGGUGAGGUGCUCUGACAUUUAAACAUUGAACAUUUAAACACAUUAAAAACUCUUCCUGGGAGACCCAGAGAACCACCAUUACAUUUGGACGUUGGGAUUUUUCUUUUUCUGAUUUUGAGACUUGAAGGUCAACUAUGAACUGGAAGAGAGAAGGAAAAGAUGCGCCCUAAACUCAUCUUUGAACGCACAACACAAUGUUCCAGGCUUAAGAAUAAGCUGUUUCUACAAGGACUCCUGGUAUCUCUGAGUGGAAAAUGAAGAAACCAAGAUCUGGGUGCCAGGUGUGAUCAUUGCUGCGGCUACAAUUUCUUCUCCUCUUCCUCCAUCUUCAUCUUUACCUUCUUUUUCACACCACAGAGCUAUUAUAACAUCAAAAAACUUUCUCCCUCAGGGCACCUGGGUGGCUCAGUCGUUAAGCAUCUGCCUUCAGCUCGGGUCACGAUCCCAGCAUUCUGGGAUCCAGCCCUGCAUUGGGCUCCCUGCUCAGCAGGGAGCCUGCUUCUCCC